rnacentral:tRNA from 1 species
AAAUAAGAAGCAAUUUAUGCAUUUAGUUUCGACCUAAAAAUAUGAUUUUAUUUAAUCCUUAUUUA